AUGAAGAUCCAGUGCGACUCGUGCGGCGUCGCGGCGGCCACGGUGGUGUGCUGCGCGGACGAGGCGGCGCUGUGCGCGCGCUGCGACGUGGAGAUCCACGCCGCUAACAAGCUCGCCAGCAAGCACCAGAGGCUCCCGCUCGACGCGCUCGGCGCCAAGCUCCCGCGCUGCGACAUCUGCCAGGAGAAGGCCGCCUUCAUCUUCUGCGUCGAGGACCGGGCGCUCUUCUGCCGCGACUGCGACGAGCCCAUCCACGUCCCCGGCACGCUCUCCGGGAACCACCAGCGCUACCUCGCCACCGGCAUCCGCGUCGGCCUCGGCCCCGUCUCCGCCUGCGCCGCCGGGGACCACGGCGCCGCCCACGACGCCGACCACCACGCCCCGCCCAAGGUCUCCUGCGAGCCCCAGCCCGCCGCCCGCGCGCAGCAGGUCCCCUCGCCGCCGCAGUUCCUGCCGCAGGACUGGGCCGUCGACGAGCUCCUGCAGUUCUCGGACUACGAGUCCAGCGACAAGCUGCACAAGGACUCGCCUCUCGCCUUCAAGGAGCUGGAGUGGUUCACCGCGGACAUGGAGCUCUUCCACGACCACGCGCCCAAGGGCGGCAGGGCGACCAUGGAGGUCCCCGAGUUCUUCGCCUCGCAGGCGGCAGACGACGCGGCCUACUACAGGCCGAGCAGAGUCGCCGCCACCGCCGGCGUGCGCCAGAGCAAGAAGGCCCGCGUCGAGAUCCCCGACGACGAGGACUUCUUCAUCGUGCCUGAUCUUGGCUAA
rnacentral:rRNA from 1 species